AUUUUAAUUUAACCUUUAUAAAUUCUGCCUGAUGCAACAACGUAUUUAUUUCAAAUCAUUUUCAACGUCACCUGUUUGGUUACAUCGUAAAUACGCUGCGUGGUAUUAUUUCAAGAAACGUAUUAUAGUCGUAUUCGUACGGCAGGGAUAACUUAACGCAUGACUUUACUACGUUAGAGCUUGCAUCAGCCGUUUGCAUCAAUCGGCCAUAGAUAGGAUGACAUUAAUUUUGCUGCAUAAUUUAAGGUAGCAUGCAGUAAUUGAAUUGAAUCUAUAAUCCAAAUCUCUAUGCGUAAUUACUGUUAAAAACGGGCUCAUAAUACGCCCUGACAUCGGAAACAGACAAGCCACUGCUUAUUACAAAUCCUUAUCAGACUGUAUGAACUCAUUUAUCUCAGAAAUUGAUGUUCUACAGUAAGCCGCCGAAAUCUCAAUAUUCAAUAAGUAGACGUCCAAAGUUGCUCAGAAAUAUUUUACUAUGGUAUAUAAUCAAUUUAUUUAUUAUAAAAAAAAGAACACAAUAUUAAUAUUUUACUUGUCUAUUAGAGAUAUGUUCUUUAAUCAUUAAAUGAAAUCAACAAUGGAAUGCACACGAUUGCAUACUACUAAUGUUCCUUCAUAUCUGUUUUCCCAGAUGUGGAACAACACAGCGAAGAAAACAAUUAUUUGCUCAAUUAAAGUAAAAAUUAGUGUAGACAGAUCACUAAUUAUGAAAAAAUUUAUUUACCUUACUACGUUCUAAUCUAUAUUUAGAAUAGAAAGAUACGGAGAAACAAUACGGAAGAAAUGUGAAAUUAAUGUACACCUGUGUAAUAAACAUUCCAAAUUGACGUCAAUAGCAAUAGCAAGUACAUAAUAUUCUAUCCGUUAAAGCAUCAUUAUUAAAAUGCAGGCACGUAUUUCCUGUAUGCCAUCUUAGCUUGUUAUUUUUUGUUCUACUUUUUAUUAUUUUAAUUAAUUAAUCCACUAUUGAGUUCAUCGAAUACAAGUUUACGUGCUGACUUCAACAUACGUAUAUCGUUAAAAAUUAAUCAAGGUGUAUGUUUGUGUCAUCGAAUUAAAUUUGGGGCCCUUAAAAAAAUCCAAAACUCACAUUUUACAAUUUUUUGUCAUAUCCGACCCAUACGACAGGGUAACGCAAAGCAGCCGUAUCACGGUCCUCUGUCUUGUCGGAUACCCCGGAUCCACUUUCGAUGCAUUGAGGCUCUUCAAGCAGCGAUCACCGUCCUCGUUGAACUAGUCGAUUACGACGAAGAGUGAAGUAAACCAGCCCACUGAGUUUCUCAAGGGGUCGCGAUUCCAAUCCAGUGGUAGAUUUCUGGUCUUACUAGGACUGGUGUUGGUCAAUUAUCUCAUAUUCUCACCUGCCCGUCCGCAUGACUCUGGAAUAGCCCCUUAGGCUACCAGCGAAUAGGUAGAUGAAACGAAACAAAGCAGCUUAAUCAACAGGUACAGAAUUUUUCUAUAAAACAAUAAACGCUAAUAUUAUUCAAAAAUAUUUAGGGCCAAUUCGUCUUUUCGCAUUAAAAGUGUACAAAUUUAAAAAAUAUUCGAAAUUGCAUUAAAACCAUUUGGUAUCACCAGUAUUUUUCUCAUAAAUACUGUCACAAGAACGUAGUUUAGUUUUAUAGUAGUAUAAGGUAGUAUUUAUAUACCUAUAUUUAAACUACGAUUAACAAAAUUAAUACAUAAUUUUAUCUUACUUUAAAAGAUAGAUAAUGUUACUCUUAAAAAAUAAAAAAUAAAUGGUGCAAAGAUGAUUAAUAUAAAAAAUAUCACAUGUUAAACCUUUCAAACACUUUACUAUAAAAUUAGUAUGUUUUGAGAUUAUACAGUUUUAAUGCGAGAAGACGAAAUGUGGAAAUGUAUCUGUAAAAUGGCUGGGUGGGAAAUGUAAAAUGAUGGCUAUGAGGCGCCGGGAUCGGGCUUUUCGAAAAUUUAGGAGGAAUCGGUGUGAUAACUGCCGUGCGAUUCUCUAAAAUUCAAACAAGAACUCGCAUCUCACUACGAAAUUCUCCAUCACUUCGCAUUCGCAAUAGAAUGACCUUGAUUUGGCAUUCUGUAAACACUAAUCUUAAUUACCCUGCCUCGAGCGAAGUGAAGUGACAACGAAGUUUGUUUACAAUACUACUAGGGAUAGCCGUAUACACGCAAAUGUAAAUCGAAGCUUACCGGUUUCAGUUUUUCUUUGUAUUUAGAAGCAUUCUGUAAGAAAAUACUAUGAAUUUAAGCUUUGGUGUCUAAACCACAUCUAAUAUAUCUAAAAAGAAAAUUAAAAGUCAUAUAUUUAUGAAAUUAAUUGUAAUUUCUGGCUGUACGCUAAGUUCCUUUGCGUGCACUGGCGAAUUCCAGAAUUAAAAAACAAAAUUUUAAUUGUUUUCAAAACAAUUUCGAGCGGUCGGAAGUUUUUAUUUUGCUUUUUCUAGAUUUGUUGAUACUUUGUGAGUGAAUUUAACGUUAAAUAAAAAUUAUGAGAUUUAAAGAGCGUUCUUCUCAUCCGACAUUGGCGCAAAUAGAGGCAUUGAUAAACGUUUUGGGUUAAAAGCUAGCGAAACAAAAGGAUUAAUCGAAUCUCAACAUGUUCAAUAAGAGAACAAGGAUAUUAGAAAAAUAUAGGAACUAAAUUCUCUUGUCAGUUAAGAUCCAUUCCCGGUGAGAUAUUUAGGACAUGUUAACAUAUAUUUAUGUAUGAUAUAUCUAUCUACUACGUUUUUAUUGAUGUUCUAUUUUAACAGGGCAUGAAGGUAAUUUAUUUGUAUCUCAAAUUCACCAACAAAAAAAUUAUUUUGAAUUAAAUAAAUCAAAUCAUUAACAAUUUAGGUAUUGCAAGUUAGAUUGAUGUUGUUGGAAUGUAUUUAUUGAUGCAGAGGUGACUGUAUCUAUGGUAAAGGGUGUGCAUACUGGUACAGGGGUGGCAGGCAGUGCCAGAGUAUUGACUAAACUGACAUUAUGUUGGCUAAAGGCUGCAUACUCAGUUUAAAAUAAAUGAACAAAAUUUAGGCAUAACCUAUUUUAUUAUAUUUAAGGAACUACAACAGAUUGAAAAUACUAAUCCACAUCAUCAGAAUAUUGUAAGGAGAAUUUAUAGCCAACUCGGAAAAUGUAUCAGUAUUGGAACAAUCGCAAACAUACAGCAUUGCAUCAAGAAUCACCUAUUUUGCAGUCAUCAUCCUCUAACUAAAUGCAAGUAACUUCUACUUAUUGUGAUGCUACUACUAGUAGCUCCAGCCACAGUAGGUCUCACAUGUUAGUCAAGAGAUUGGGUUGAUAUGUGUUUAUUCAGGUCAAAGUACCUAUUCAUUGAACCACCAUAUUAGGGACAUUGAUUUGUGUAUAAUGCUGUUACUUGUAAAUAAAAACAUUUUGUUGCAUGUAUUGUAAACAUUGUAUUUUACCUAACCUUGUUUUUAAAUAAAUUUAUUAUUUUUUUCAGCACCUCAACACCUGACCUGCUAUUUCACCACUUUUACAAUGAAAAGCAGAGUGUACUCAAAUUACUGAGAGAAUUUUGUGGAUAGAGGAACUGCAGGUGAAGAUUCAGGGUGUUCAUAUGUGUGUCGUCCAAAGCAUUUUUGAACACAGUACCAUAUAUAACUUAAUGAAACUUACAACCAUGGGGGAAUGAACAGUCGACAAUCUGCAAGAAGGAUGAACUGUUGGUGGAAUUAGCACAUGCAGCUAGCAAUUUUAAACCUGUAUUUCCACAUAAGUUACUGAUGCAAACAAAUUUCAAAAUUAUUGUAUAUAACUAUUGAAUAAAACUAUAAUAAAACUAUUUUUAUAAA